AGCACUGCCUACAGCUGCAGCUAUAAAUGUACGGGAUAACAUGUACUGAGCGAAACGGCAUCACUGCAGCUUUUGGUUUUUCUCUUUCUCGCUCAACUGUCAUUAAAAACACGAAAUCACAUCACAUAAUAACACAUGCAAGAGACAGUAUUAUUUGAUUACUUACUAUUACAAUAAGAAUAUUUGUUUCCAUUUGCUGUUGCUGCUGCUGAGCCCAAAAUGCUACGAACGGUGAACGAAAUACUGGAGGUCAUACAGUCGGAAGCAAUUGAAAAAAAAAAUAGCGGUGGCUCGAAAGGAGUAAAACCAAAGUGACUGUACAAUGGGUUCUACUCGGUCGAUGAUAAUUCCGUAAAAGACGUGAAGGAUGAAUCGACUAGUAAUGGCGAAGGCAGUAGAAAAUCAGGCAUUGAAAUUUAUUCAAUUUCAGCUGUUGUUCUUCCUUUCUCAAAAUAAUAAUCCACUUUCAGGCUUGUCCGGUGAUGUUUACAAAAAAGAUUACCCAUGUUGAUCAAAUGAGGCGUUUACAAAUAAAAUUGUUAGCAGAGACGAUGGAAAAAGCUACUGCAAAAGCUGCUGUCACUACAGAUAUAAUUGAUAAUCCAUCAUGUUAAUCCUCGAUAGCUUCAUCCUCAUCCACUUCGAUCUUAAUCAGUUGUAAGACACUUCAUCGAGAACAGUAUAACUGUAACAGCAAUUCCACUGAUGGAUCAUCGUCGCUUUUUUUUCCAAACCUACAAGCUCUGAAAUAUUCUCCGAAAGAGUGUAUAGUCCUGAACAAAAGCACCAUUGAUGUACCCUGCAUGCAUUGAUUCAAUCCUCAACAUCCCCUUCUUCUGUUACCACAAGAUGAUCACUCACCUUCGAAACAACAGAACAUCUAUCCGACCCAGCACAAGAUACGAAAAUCGACGUUGUACUCGUUUAACUAUUCUUCCGGCAAUGCUCACCGUCAGAAUGGAGUAGGUGAAUGUUAUGCGGAUGAAAUCACACCAACGAGCUUAUCGACCUUAUUUCACUCUAAUCGCCAGCAUAGACCAUCGCAAAUGUAACCAAAUUGAAUAUCCAAGCAAACUCAACGAUGUUAACGGUCGAUACCAUCAAAGCUAGGUGUUGCUGCUGUCGAUGUAGACAAUUCCAACAAAGAAAUCUGCUUUCGCCGGAAUUUCACUGAUGAUGAUACAAUCUGAUACUGUGAACGCCAGCAGCAAAGAUCUGCUAGUUCAUGAUUUUGUGCAAGAGUAUAGUGUAUGUAUGUAAAUUGAAUGUACAGAAAAUAAAUAUUUG